GAUGAACGCUGACAGAAUGCUUAACACAUGCAAGUCUUUGGCGAAGCUGUGCUUGCACAGCCUAGCCAAGGCGGACGGGUGAGUAACGCGUAAGGAACUUGCCCUGCAGUCAGGGAUAACAGACGGAAACGACUGAUAAGACCUGGUAAAGUCAGGCGGACUCAUGUCCAGCCUGAUGAAAAGUGAUGCUGCAGGAGAGCCUUGCGUCCUAUUAGCUUGUUGGUGGGGUAACGGCCCACCAAGGCGAUGAUAGGUAGCCGGCCUGAGAGGGUGGACGGCCACAAGGGGACUGAGAUACGGCCCUUACUCCUACGGGAGGCGGCAGGGGGGAAUAUUGGACAAUGGGGGCAACCCUGAUCCAGCAAUUCUGUGUGCACGAUGAAGGUUUUCGGAUUGUAAAGUGCUUUCAGCAGGGAAGAAAAAAAUGACGGUACCUGCAGAAGAAGCGACGGCUAAAUACGUG
rnacentral:rRNA from 1 species